rnacentral:rRNA from 1 species
AUUGAACGCUGGCGGCAGGCCUAACACAUGCAAGUCGAGCGGAUGAAGGGAGCUUGCUCCUGGAUUCAGCGGCGGACGGGUGAGGAAUGCCUAGGAAUCUGCCUGGUAGUGGGGGAUAACGUCCGGAAACGGGCGCUAAUACCGCAUACGUCCUGAGGGAGAAAGUGUGGGAUCUUCGGACCUCACGCUAUCAGAUGAGCCUAGGUCGGAUUAGCUAGUUGGUGGGGUAAAGGCCUACCAAGGCGACGAUCCGUAACUGGUCUGAGAGGAUGAUCAGUCACACUGGAACUGAGACACGGCCCAGACUCCUACGGGAGGCAGCAGUGGGGAAUAUUGGACAAUGGGCGAAAGCCUGAUCCAGCCAUGCCGCGUGUGUGAAGAAGGUCUUCGGAUUGUAAAGCACUUUAAGUUGGGGGGAAGGGCAGUAAGUUAAUACCUUGCUGUUUUGACGUUACCAACAGAAUAAGCACCGGCUAACUUCGUG